GACGAACGCUGGCGGCGUGCUUAACACAUGCAAGUCGAACGGAAAGGCCCUGCUUUUGUGGGGUGCUCGAGUGGCGAACGGGUGAGUAACACGUGAGUAACCUGCCCUUGACUUUGGGAUAACUUCAGGAAACUGGGGCUAAUACCGGAUAGGAGCUCCUGCUGCAUGGUGGGGGUUGGAAAGUUUCGGCGGUUGGGGAUGGACUCGCGGCUUAUCAGCUUGUUGGUGGGGUAGUUGCUUACCAAGGCUUUGACGGGUAGCCGGCCUGAGAGGGUGACCGGGCACAUUGGGACUGAGAUACGGCGCAGACUCCUACGGGAGGCAGCAGUGGGGAAUAUUGCACAAUGGGCGGAAGCCUGAUGCAGAAACGCCGCGUGCGGGAUGACGGCCUUCGGGUUAUAAACCGCUUUCGCCUGUGACGAAGCGUGAGUGACGGUAAUGGGUAAAGAAGCACCGGCUAACUACGUG
rnacentral:rRNA from 1 species